UUCUUGAAAAUUAAAAAAGUUGGCGGUAUUUUAGUCUAUUCAGAGGAACCUGUUCUAUAAUUGAUAAUCCACGUGUUUAACAACUUAUAUUAUAAAUUUACAUAUCGUCGUAGAUUGAAUAUUUUUAAAGAAAUAUAAUGUUCAAAAUUUUUAAUAAAAAGAAUUCAGAUCAAGGUGUAGUUUAUAUAUAAGAAGAAAUGGGUUACAAUAAAUUUAUUUAAAACGAAAGAUUUUUUGUAAUAAAAAUUGGAAGGAGGAUUUGAAAGUAAUUUUGUAAAAAUUUAUAAAAUGAUUUUAGCUCUAAAAUAUGUACAUAUCGCCCGUCACUUUCACUUUAAAGUGGAAUAAGUCGUAACAAAGUAGGAGUACUGGAAAGUGUUCCUAGAAAGAUCAAAUUAAAGCUUUUAAAGCAUUUUAGUUACAUUAAAAAGAAUAUUGUGGAUUCAGUAUAGUUUGAAGUUAAAAAUUUAUUUAUUAAGAUUAUUAAGUUUAAUUUUAAAAAAAAUAAUUUUAAUUUUUAUUAUUUAUUUAAGAAUAAAUAAAAUUUAUUAUAGGAUAUUAGUAUUGAGAAAGAAUUUUUUUUAUUUAGUUAAAAGAAAAAUUUUUUUUGUACCUUGUGUAUCAGGGUUUAUUAAUUAAAAUUUGUAUAUUUAAAAUUUCUCGAAUUUAGAAGAGCUAUAUAGGUAUAAUUUUUAUUGUUGAAAAAAUAUUAUAAAUAUAUAUAUAGAAAUGAAAUGUUAAUCGAUUCUGAAUAUAUCUAGUUUUUUAAGAAAAAAAUUUAAUUUUAUUUUUAUUUAUAAAAAAUUUUAGUUUAUAAAUUUUUUAUAGUAAAAUUUUAUAUUUAAGGGGAUGAGCUUUUAAAUAAAAAUAUAAUUAAUAUAAUUUUUAGUUAAGUGGAAUUAUAAGUUUUCAUCUUUAAUAGUGUUUUAUAACUAUUUUAUAAAAAAAUAAAAUUUUUAUAUAGUUUAUUUAUUUAUUAAAAUGUAUAUUUAAAUUUUUUAAAUGUAGUAAUAAUGAUAAAAUUAGUAUAAUUAAUUGUAAGUAUUUAAUAAAAAUAUUAGGUUAAGUAAAGGAAUUCGGCAAAUAAUUUUCCACCUGUUUAAUAAAAACAUGGCUUUUUGAAUUUAAUUUAAGGUCUAACCUGCCCAAUGAUUUAUAAUUAAAUGGCCGCGGUAUUUUGACCGUGCAAAGGUAGCAUAAUCAUUAGUUUUUUAAUUGAAAGCUUGUAUGAAAGGUUGGAUGAGAAAAUAACUGUCUCUAUUUAAAUUUUUUAGAAUUUUAUAUUUAAGUAAAAAAGCUUAAAUAUUUGUAGAAGACGAGAAGACCCUAUAGAGUUUUAUAAAUUAUUUAAAUUAAAAUUUUUAGAAUUUUA
rnacentral:rRNA from 1 species